CCACCACGUGAAGAAGGUGCUUGUUUCCCCUUUGCCUUCCGCCAUGAUUGUAAGUUUCCUGAGGUCUCCCAGUCAUACUGCUGGUUAAGCCUGCGGAACGGUCACAUUCUGAGGUUCCAGUGGACAUGAAUUUGGAGGCGACCCUAUUCAACUCAGUACAGCCAGUCUUUUAAAUUUACCAUUCUAAUAGGUGCUGCUGACAGCCAUCGUGUGCUGCGGAGGAAGACUGCCUGAGAAUGGAGCCAUUCAGGAGGAAAUGGGGCAGAGAAAUAAAGAGAAAUAAAAUCCCAUCUUUUCAGUCCCGCUUCCCUCACUCCCUCAUCCAUUCUUCCUAGCAGACUAUUCAGUUGUGCUUUUUAAGAUUUAUUCUGUUUUUGUUUUUCACCUAAGACGGUUUAGCUUGUUUGUUUUUCUCUUGUUUGCAACCACUGUGUUCUAGCGGUUAUUACGAAUUUAAUAGACUUUAUACAAGAUUUUGUAAAGGGCAGAAAACUCAAGAUUGGACAGUGACUUUCUCCUAGGACACUAUCUUGCCGGUGCCUUCACCUCAGUCUCCACCCUGGAUCUCCGAUUUUGUCCCUGAAACUUCAAAUUCUUUUCCUUCAAUUAUACAAUGCAGCAGCUCUCCUUUCAGUAGUGCUACUUUGUACCCUACCCUGGGGAAGAGGUAGCUCACCUUCGAACCUGAGCUCUUGGCAAGGUCUUUUUCCAGAUCUAAGGCAGUUCCCUUCCUAAGGGAGAGUCAGAUGCCACUGAGGAGAGAGAAAGGUAGUCGGAGGGAAUGUUAUGGCAGACACUGUGGUUGCUCACUAAUGUAACAUCCCUUCUCUUCUUCCUUGCUGUAAGGACUCUAAUCUUGUUCCGGAAUUUAAGGAAGGUGGGUUCAGCCUCUGGCUUAGAGGAUGGGCAUGUAACCCAGUCUGACCAGCAAGGUAUAAAGGUCAAUUUAUGGGCAGUCUGGGAAAGUUUUUCUUCCCUGAUAAGAGGAAAACAUAAGGGGAUCUCUCUGCUCUAAGCCUCCAGUUACUUCCUUCUCCAAAAGCAGUUAUGUGAGGAUGUGAUGCCUGGAGCUGUGGAAGCCAUUUUGUGACCAUGAGGAGAAAGCCAAGAGAAUAACAGAGACACUAUCCCAAUGUCCUGAGUAUUGUUCAGCUAUGAAACUAACCCUGGAAACUCCUUGGGCCACAUAGUAGAUAUUUUAAGUUUUGCCAGCCAUAUGUCUCUGUCAUGACUACUAAACUCUUCAUUUAUAUCGUGACAGCAGCCUUUGACAAUAUGUUAACAAAUGGAUGUGACUAUGUUCUGAGAAAACUUCAUUUUCAAAAACGGGCUAAGGGCCAGAUUUGCCCUGUGUGCCACUGUUUGGCACAACCUGUAUUUUUGGCCAUAUUAGCUGGAUUUGCAGUUACUUGCACUCAAAGCAUUUCUAACAGAGCAUGUGUGGGCUGCCCUAGAGGGCAGUCUCUCACCCCAAACACAGCUGUGCUCACAGGCUCAAUUGCCACUUGCUGGAAGCAACAGCUUAUUUUCUUCUGUCUACCAACAUUCAUUCACUCAACAAACGUCUAUUGAGUGCCUACUCUGUGUCAGGAACUGUUCUGAUGCUGGGGCUAAAAUAGGAGAUGUUGAACCCUGUCCUUGGGGAGUUCUCUUUAUAUAACAUUGGGAAUCAAGAAAGCCUUCCUAGAGGAAGUGAUAACUAAGUUAGCUCUGAAGGGUGAAUAGGAGUUAGGAAGAUAAAGGGCAAAACAUGUGGGCCUGGGUGGGUAGGAGGGCAUUCCAGGCAAAAGUAAGAGGGGACAUGGCGCAUAUGUUAGUAGAAAAGGGAAAAUGAGGGAAAGAGUGGAGGAGAGUGAAGCCAGAGAGGUUAAAUGAGACCAGAUCACAUGUGAGCUGGUAGGUCAUUGGUUUUCACACUGAGUGAGAUGGGGCGAUUGGAGGGCUUUGAACAGAGGGGGAUAUCAACCACUGACAGCUGCCUGGGCCAGGGUGAUGAAGAGGUCAUGAACAGGAGAUGGCCUUGAGAGAUUCCAAGGGGUAAAAUAGGACUCGAGGAUAAAGCAGAUGAGGGAAGUGUCUAGGAUGACAUGCAGGGUUCUGAUUCUUAACUAUUUUGUUGUAUCUCUAAAGAAAUAGACAUCGAGCAGAGGAGAAUUCAGAAAGUUUUUUUUGUUUGUUUUUGAGACAGAGUCUCACUCUGUCACCCAGGCUGGAGUGCAGUGGCGCGAUCUCGGCUCGCUGCAACCUCCACUUUCCAGGUUUAUGUGAUUCUCCUGCCUCAGCUUCCUGAGUAUCUGGGACUAUAGGCGCCCACCACCACGCCGGGCUAAUUUUUGUAUUUUGAGUAGAGACGGGCUUUCACCUGGUCUCAAACUCCUGACCUCAGGUGAUCUGCCCGCCUUGGUUUCUCAAAGUGCUGGGAUUACAGGCAUGAGCCACUGUGCCCAGCCCAGAAAGUAUUUUUGAGGCCUUUGUGCAGUGGCUUUAUCAGAAAGAAAGGAGCAAAAAAUAGACAGGAGCUUGGGCUCCUACCUCAUAAUCAAGUUUUGCCUUGCAUUUGUCCCAGAAAAUUCAAUGGAUUAAUUGGACUUCAGCACAAUUGUCUUAAUUUAUAGCAUUAAGUAAAAUCUAUAUAUGUCAAGAUGCAAAGUGCAGGAAUGUAAUGGGGACUGUCACAGAGGCUGCUACAUCUGCAGUAUUCUUUUUUUUUUUUUUUUUUGAGACGGAGUCUCGCUCUGUCGCCCAGGCUGGAGUGCAGUGGCGCGAUCUCGGCUCACUGCAAGCUCCGCCUCCUGGGUUCACGCCAUUCUCCUGCCUCAGCCUCCCAGUAGCUGGGAUUACAGGCGCCCGCCACCACGCCCAGCUAAUUUUUUGUGUUUUUAGUAGAGACGGGGUUUCACCGUGUUAGCCAGGAUGGUCUUGAUCUCCUGACCUCGUGAUCCACCCGCCUCGGCCUCCCAAAGUGCUGGGAUUACAGGCGUGAGCCACCGCGCCCGGCCUGCAGUAUUCUUUCCUAACUGCCUAAGAGGUGUUUGCCUGAAGAAUGGGGGAGGACAGGGUCUAAGAGCUAUGCAGGAACUAGGAAGGGACCUGAGCCUCGACCAAAAUUACAUGAGAACACCAUGUGUGCCAGGCAGUCCCUGAGUCCAGGGACUAUUUUACUAACGACUAACACUCUACUCUACUAAUCUAUUUUAAAAUUUCAUUUUAAUGGUUAUCAAAAUACUGCAGAUACAUUGAUUUUUUUAAAAAAAAGUCAAACAGUCCUUAUAUUUGCUAUGGAUUGCACAUGGCUGCAAGUAACAGAAAACCCGAUUGCUGGUAACAUAAACUAUAAGAAUUGAUUUUAAUAUUUUUGGUGUUAUUCACAACCAGAGGUCCAGACGUGAGCAGUUUGUUAAGUGGCUCAACAGCAUCAGGUCAGAUGUUUUUCCGUUUUCUUGGCCUUCCCCUCAUGAUCACAAGAUGGCUGCUGCAGCUCCUUAAGUCAUCAAUCACAUCUGUGUUCCAGGCAGAAGGAAGGUAGCAAAGACUUUCCCAGAAAUCCCCAGCAGGUUUCUGAUUGUGUUAUUGGCAAGAGCUGUGUCUUGAUUACCCCCAGCUGCAAGGGAGUUUAACAUGGUGAGAGUUUUUCUUUUUUUUAGCUUUUCAGCCUGUAUAGUAGAAAGUCAAGAUAAAGGAGGUUGGGAUGGGUGUCAAGUGGUCAGUAUCCACCAUGGUCCCCGUUCCCUGUCCCACCCCUCCUCAUCCUGAGUUCUCACUCUCCUGAAGUAAUUCUCUU